AUGCGGCAGCUUCAGCUCAUCACCAACAUGAGGGCUCAUAAUGACACGUGGUUUGCAGAUUACUUGCUAAGGGUCGGCAAUGGCACUGAGGAUGUCGACGAUCAAGGCAACAUACUACUCCCUGAAGACAUUUGUCUGCCGUCUACAGGCGAGGUUGACGACCUGGAGAAGCUUAUUGACCACGUGUUUCCGAGUCUAGAUGACAACAUGUCUGAUUCGAAUUACAUGACAUCUCGCGCAAUCCUUUCCCCGACAAACGACAAUGUCGACAAGAUAAACAUCGCAUGA
rnacentral:rRNA from 1 species